rnacentral:rRNA from 1 species
UAGAUACCCUGGUAGUCCUGGCCCUAAACGAUGUCCACUAGAUUAUGGCGGGUUUGACCCCGUCAUGGUCGAAGCAAAAGUGUUAAGUGGACCGCCUGGGAAGUACGGUCGCAAGGCUAAAACUCAAAGGAAUUGACGGGGGCUCACACAAGCGGUGGAGCAUGUGGUUCAAUUCGAAGCAACGCGCAGAACCUUACCUGGGCUUGACAUGCUUGGAUUAUCCUUAUGAAAGUAAGGUAGGCCCCGCAAG